rnacentral:rRNA from 1 species
GUGCCAGCCGCCGCGGUAAUACGUAGGUGGCAAGCGUUGUUCGGAUUUACUGGGCGUAAAGGGUGUGUAGGCGGAUAUUUAAGUGAGAUGUGAAAUCCCCGGGCUUAACUUGGGGGCUGCAUUUCAAACUGGAUGUCUAGAGUGCAGGAGAGGAAAGCGGAAGUCCUAGUGUAGCGGUGAAAUGCGUAGAGAUUGGGAAGAAUACCAGUGGCGAAAGCGGCUUUCUGGACAGUAACUGA